ACUGACGAUUGACGACAUGCAUUUGUUGUUGGUUGUUUGUUGUGAGUCAUGAGUUACUCGUGCUAUAUGCCAGAUCAGUGGCGAACGAGUCAGUAACACCUUAGUACAUACCUCGAAGUGGGGCAUAGCUAGCCGAAAGGUUAGGUAAUUCCCCAUACGCUCGUAAGAGGAAAGUCGUAAGACGCUUUGAGAUUGGCUUAGGUCCGAUCAGCUAGUUGGUGAGGUAAUGGCUCACCAAGGCUAUGACCGGUAGGGGGGCUGAGAGGCUGAUCCCCGACGACGAGACUGAGACACGGCUCGUACACCUACGGGUGGCAGCAGUCGAGAAUAUUCCACAAUGGGCGAAAGCCUGAUGGAGCGACGCCGCGUGGAGGAUGAAGGCCUUCGGGUUGUAAACUCCUUUUCUGUGGGAAGAAAUCCCGUUUAUCGGGACUGACGGUACCAUAGGAAUAAGAGGUUGCUAACUCUGUGCCAGCAGCAGCGGUAAUACAGAGACCUCGAGCGUUAUCCGGAUUUACUGGGCGUAAAGGGUCCGCAGGUGGUUUUGUAAGUCUUCGGUUAAAUCCUUGAGCUCAACUCGAGGACCGCCGAGGAAACUAUAAGACUAGAGACUGGGAGAGGCAAGCGGAAUUGCCGGUGUAGUAGUAAAAUGCGUUAAUAUCGGCAAGAACACCAAAUGCGAAGGCAGCUUGCUAGAACAGUUCUGACACUCAGGGACGAAAGCGUGGGUAGCGAUACGGAUUAGAUACCCGUGUAGUCCACGCCCUAAACGAUGGGUACUGGGCAUUGGAAGUAUCGACCCUUUCAGUGCCGCACAUCAAAGCUAACGCGUUAAGUACCCCGCCUGGGGAGUACGGCCGCAAGGCUAAAACUCAAAGGAAUUGACGGGAACCCGCACAAGCGGUGGAGCAUGUGGUUCAAUUCGACAAUAAGCGUGGAACCUUACCAGGGCUUGACAUGCUAGAAGUAUUCUCCCGGAAACGGGAGAGGACCGUUAAAUCGGAUUCUAGCACAGGUGCUGCAUGGUUGUCGUCAGCUCGUGUCGUGAGAUGUUCCGUUAAGUCGGGAAACGAGCGCAACCCUCACGGCCAGUUAAUUUUUCUGGCCGAACUGCCCCGCACUGAGCGCAUUUAUGCGCAGUUAAAAGUUUUUAAAGUUCAUAAAGUUUAUAAAGUUCAAAAACCUUAUAAACCUUAUAAUUUUAUAACUUUAUAAACUGAAGCAAGAAGUGCGUUGAGUGCGGGGAGGAAGGUGAGGAUGACGUCAAAUCAGCAUGGCCCUUUGAUGCCCUGGGCUACACACAUGCUACAAUGGUCCGUACAAUGGGUUGCCAAGCCGCAAGGCGGAGCUAAUCCCAUCAAAACGGGCCCCAGUUCAGAUUGGGGGCUGCAACUUGCCCCCAUGAAGUCGGAAUCGCUAGUAAUCGCGGAUCAGCAUGCCGCGGUGAAUACGUUCUCGAGUCCUGUACUCACCGCCCGUCACACCAAGGGAGCCGGGAGUGGGUGAAAACUCCAACAGGGGUUUAGCCUAAGCUCGGUGACACGGGUGAAGUCGUAACAAGGCACGGGUAGCGGAAGCUGCUCGUG
rnacentral:rRNA from 1 species